rnacentral:rRNA from 1 species
AUGUCAAGGAUGUUGAAGAACAACAGCUCUUUAUUUAGUCUUGUUGUGGUCUUGAGGAAAGAAUCAACGUUCUGUGAUUGGGGUAACUAUAAAAUAUUCCAUCUGAAACUUGUGACCAACGAAACAAAUGGUAAAACCUUUUGUUUCAAUUAUUCCUUCUUAAUAAGCUAUGAUUCUCACAGUAAUUUUUCGCAGGCAUUUGGCCUUUGUGUUCCUAUUGGUCUGCUUGGCUUAGUGCUAAAACUUUGCUGUUCAACCAUGGGUCCGAAUGCUUGCUCUAGUACUGUUCUGUGGCACUUCCCUCAGUUAGACCAACAUAAGAUCUUGCUGGCAUGGGUCACUUUGCUCAUCAACACUUCUUUGGGCUCCUAG